UGGGCUUAAAGUUUUCCUCAAAAGCCACUCGUGGCCUGGAAAAUGAACCAUUUCCCAAAUCUUUGGGUAUUUGGCUAGUUUUCUGGGUUGGCAGCUUGCAAGAUAGGGACCUGUUUUGCAUUUACCAAAAGACUUGCAUCCUUGUAUGUGGAAUUAAUAUAGAGAGAUUUUAUGCAAGAAUGAAAUAACCACUAAGUUUUGGGAUUUUUUGUUUUUAAGAAAAAUAAACAAGUCAAUACUUAGCCAUAUUUGAGGGGGGGGAGGUAUAUAAUAGUCUUGGAGGUAGCAUUAAAUUUUCAGGCAGAAUAAUUGGUCACUAAAUUCUUGGUUUCAAAAAAUCCUUUUCAUUCAUACCACUUACAGAAGAAUAACAUGUUUUGCUCAUUUGGCAUUAUGUCAAGUUCCCUUGUAUUCUGGAGAGAGAUGAAAUACUAAACCCUUUAGUCCUGUCUUCUUCCGGUGUUUCCAUGUCAAAAAUCACACCAGAAUAGGCUAUUUGUGUCUAAACCUUGUGCGUAUCAGUCGCACCCUUAGUAUGUCCCACAGCUGCCACCAUCACCUAGAAGCCUCCACCUCAUAACUAUAACCUAUUGCAAAGUCUCUCUCCUUUAUAUUGAGGGAAGUCAAUUUCCUACUAAGCUUUUUAACUUUUUGUCCUCAACCUAUGAAUUUUCUCCAUAGUUCACAGUACAGUGGCUCUCUUCUUACUACCCCCUCCCCCCCACUCCUUGCCUUGAAGAUUCAUAUAUAGCCUUUAACACUAUGCAACUUUGUACUUUGUGUAGCGGGGAAGAAACUAUUAUCUGACACACUGGUGCUAUUAAUUAUUUCAAAUUUAUAUUUUUGUGUGAAUGUUUUUUGUUUGUUUUGUUUAUCAUAAUUAUAGAUUAAGAAAUUUAUGUAAAUAUACUUGUCCGGUUUCCAGAAUAUCCGUGUCUGUUCUCCUCUUCCCUUCAUAUUUCCUUUUAACCAGCACAACAGUUUGCAUCACGCUUUCUCAUGCCUCUUGCUAUUUCUUCUACUUCUAAUUCCUCUAAAUUAGGUUCUCCCCUCCAUUGCCCUCCCUUGUGCCCAUUGCCUUGUGUUUGCAGUAUUUGUAGUCUAUAGUAUUGAUAGAUAAUUGUUUACCUAAACACAGUCUCUGCAGAUAAGAGCCCUUUAGACAUCCCACCCCCCAGAUACCAUGUCACUCUGCAUGUAACUUCUUUGUGUCUGUUAUGCAAUAGCAGUGCAUAAGGGGUGCAGCUCCCAGCGUCUGCAGCAUCGUCAUGGGUCCAGGUAGAAGUGCAUUUCCUGGAUGUCAUCUCUGUGUGGGUACCUAUGAAAUGUGAGAGCCUGAUUGUUAGAUUUCCAUAAGGCAUCAGGGACAGUGCUAUAGGAGGGUAGAUGGGGAGGAUGCUUAGUCUUUGAAUACGCCUCUCCCCCCGCUAUUCCCUAGGGCAAGCUAGAGUUUACCAAAACUUGUGUGACUUGGCAUUCCUCUGCCCUUUGACACCUUUCCAUCUCCCAGCCUCCUCUUACUACCAUAAAACUCGCUGGUUUGUUUUUUUUUUAUGCCAAGUUUUCACAUCAGUAUUUCUUGACUAGCUUUUGUAGUAAGGUGGUCAUAUCUUAGCACUCAUCUCCUGGUCAAGGCUGCAGGAAGAGACAAAAGAAUCUGCCAGCAUCAGAUCCUCC
rnacentral:lncRNA from 1 species